UACGAAGGGGACUAGCGUUGCUCGGAAUCACUGGGCGUAAAGGGUGCGUAGGCGGUCGGGUAAGUCUGAUGUGAAAUCUCACAGCUUAACUGUGAAACUGCAUUGGAUACUAUCCGGCUCGAGGAAUGGAGGGGAGACUGGAAUACUUGGUGUAGCAGUGAAAUGCGUAGAUAUCAAGUGGAACACCAGUGGCGAAGGCGAGUCUCUGGACAUUUCCUGACGCUGAGGCACGAAAGCCAGGGGAGCAAACGGG
rnacentral:rRNA from 1 species